rnacentral:tRNA from 1 species
GUGGCAUUAGCUCAGUCGGACAGAGCAACCGCCUUCUAAGUCGUGGGCCGCAGGUUCGAAUCCUGCAGGGCGCGCCA